rnacentral:rRNA from 1 species
GUAGCAAGGUUAACCGUAUAGGGGAGCCGGAGGGAAACCGAGUCUUAACCGGGCGUUAAGUUGCAGGGUAUAGACCCGAAACCCGGUGAUCUAGCCAUGGGCAGGUUGAAGGUUGGGUAACACUAACUGGAGGACCGAACCGACUAAUGUUGAAAAAUUAGCGGAUGACCUGUGGCUGGGGGUGAAAGGCCAAUCAAACCGGGAGAUAGCUGGUUCUCCCCGAAAGCUAUUUAGGUAGCGCCUCGUGAAUUCAUCUCCGGGGGUAGAGCACUGUUUCGGCUAGGGGGCCAUCCCGGCUUACCAACCCGAUGCAAACUGCGAAUACCGGAGAAUGUUAUCACGGGAGACACACGGCGGGUGCUAACGUCCGUCGUGAAGAGGGAAACAACCCAGACCGCCAGCUAAGGUCCCAAAGUCAUGGUUAAGUGGGAAACGAUGUGGGAAGGCCCAGACAGCCAGGAUGUUGGCUUAGAAGCAGCCAUCAUUUAAAGAAAGCGUAAUAGCUCACUGGUCGAGUCGGCCUGCGCGGAAGAUGUAACGGGGCUAAACCAUGCACCGAAGCUGCGGCAGCGANNNNNNNNNNNNNNNNNNNNNNNNNNNNNNNNNNNNNNNNNUGCUGGAGGUAUCAGAAGUGCGAAUGCUGACAUAAGUAACGAUAAAGCGGGUGAAAAGCCCGCUCGCCGGAAGACCAAGGGUUCCUGUCCAACGUUAAUCGGGGCAGGGUGAGUCGACCCCUAAGGCGAGGCCGAAAGGCGUAGUCGAUGGGAAACGGGUUAAUAUUCCCGUACUUGGUGUUACUGCGAAGGGGGGACGGAGAAGGCUAUGUUGGCCGGGCGACGGUUGUCCCGGUUUAAGCGUGUAGGUGUGUGUUCCAGGUAAAUCCGGUUCACUUUAACACUGAGGCGUGACGACGAGGCACUACGGUGCUGAAGCAACAAAUGCCCUGCUUCCAGGAAAAGCCUCUAAGCAUCAGGUAACACGAAAUCGUACCCCAAACCGACACAGGUGGUCAGGUAGAGAAUACCAAGGCGCUUGAGAGAACUCGGGUGAAGGAACUAGGCAAAAUGGUGCCGUAACUUCGGGAGAAGGCACGCUGACACGUAGGUGAAGUGAUUUACUCAUGGAGCUGAAGUCAGUCGAAGAUACCAGCUGGCUGCAACUGUUUAUUAAAAACACAGCACUGUGCAAACACGAAAGUGGACGUAUACGGUGUGACGCCUGCCCGGUGCCGGAAGGUUAAUUGAUGGGGUCAGCGCAAGCGAAGCUCCUGAUCGAAGCCCCGGUAAACGGCGGCCGUAACUAUAACGGUCCUAAGGUAGCGAAAUUCCUUGUCGGGUAAGUUCCGACCUGCACGAAUGGCGUAAUGAUGGCCAGGCUGUCUCCACCCGAGACUCAGUGAAAUUGAACUCGCUGUGAAGAUGCAGUGUACCCGCGGCAAGACGGAAAGACCCCGUGAACCUUUACUAUAGCUUGACACUGAACAUUGAGCCUUGAUGUGUAGGAUAGGUGGGAGGCUUUGAAGUGUGGACGCCAGUCUGCAUGGAGCCGACCUUGAAAUACCACCCUUUAAUGUUUGAUGUUCUAACGUGGACCCGUAAUCCGGGUUGCGGACAGUGUCUGGUGGGUAGUUUGACUGGGGCGGUCUCCUCCUAAAGAGUAACGGAGGAGCACGAAGGUUGGCUAAUCCUGGUCGGACAUCAGGAGGUUAGUGCAAUGGCAUAAGCCAGCUUGACUGCGAGCGUGACGGCGCGAGCAGGUGCGAAAGCAGGUCAUAGUGAUCCGGUGGUUCUGAAUGGAAGGGCCAUCGCUCAACGGAUAAAAGGUACUCCGGGGAUAACAGGCUGAUACCGCCCAAGAGUUCAUAUCGACGGCGGUGUUUGGCACCUCGAUGUCGGCUCAUCACAUCCUGGGGCUGAAGUAGGUCCCAAGGGUAUGGCUGUUCGCCAUUUAAAGUGGUACGCGAGCUGGGUUUAGAACGUCGUGAGACAGUUCGGUCCCUAUCUGCCGUGGGCGCUGGAGAACUGAGGGGGGCUGCUCCUAGUACGAGAGGACCGGAGUGGACGCAUCACUGGUGUUCGGGUUGUCAUGCCAAUGGCACUGCCCGGUAGCUAAAUGCGGAAGAGAUAAGUGCUGAAAGCAUCUAAGCACGAAACUUGCCCCGAGAUGAGUUCUCCCUGAGA